GAUGAAGAACGCAGUGAAAUGCGAUACGUAAUGUGAAUUGCAGAAUUCAGUGAAUCAUCGAAUCUUUGAACGCAUAUUGCGCUCUCUGGUAUUCCGGAGAGCAUGCUUGUUUGAGUAUCAGUAAACACCUCAACUUCCAUAUCUUUUUUGAAAUGGGAGUUGGACUUGAGUGAUCCCAACGCUUUUCCUCACCGAAAAGUGGCGGGUUACUUGAAAUGCAGGUGCAGCUGGACUUUUCUCUGAGCUAUAAGCAUAUCUAUUUAGUCUGCCUAAAAAACAGAUUAUUACCUUUGCUGCAGCUAACAUAAAGGAGAUUAGUUCUUGUGCUGACUGAUGCAGGAUUCACAAAGACGGCUUCGGCCGACUUUGUAAACUCGAUCUCAAAUCAAGUAAGACUACCCGCUGAACUUAAGCAUAUCAAUACGGAGGA
rnacentral:misc_RNA from 1 species